rnacentral:rRNA from 1 species
AUGGCGCCCUCCACCACCACCGGUGCUGUCCCAGUCCCACGAUGUCCUGUUAUCUUCAACGGACAGAACUACAGGGACUGGGUGCAGCACAUGAAGCUUCACAUGAGGGGCCAGCUGGUCUGGGAGCACCUCUCUGGUGCUCUGCCUUGUCCCCUGCUGCCCACUCCUCCAGCUGAGUUGGCCUUCCCUGUUGAUGCCGAUGAAACCAAGCAACGUGAGAUGCUAGAUGCUUUUGAAGAGGCCACUGAAGAGUAUCAGAAUCAACUCCACUUAUACAAGCAAUGGACAAAUGAUGAUGCUCGAGCCUCUUCUAUCUUGGUGAACAACAUGGAUGUUGAUCUCACCAUGGAUGUGGUGGCCCUUACCACUGCAUAUCAGAUGUGGGAGCACCUUCGCCAUCGCUAUGAGUCUACAGGGGAUGCCAUGUAUCUCUCUGUUGUUCGUCAAGAGCAACAACUACAACAGGGAGAUGCUACUGUGGAUGAUUUCUACAAGGAGAUGUCGGCGGUGUGGCACCAAUUGGACUCUCUGGGAGCUGAUGUUUGUCGCAGAUGUCAGUUUUGUGUGUGGCAACAAGCUAAGCUGGAGGUUCGUCACCUCUACGACUUCCUCACUCGCCUCCGGCCGGAGUUCGAGCAGAGUCGUGCUCAGCUAUUGGCACGCCAUCCUCGGCUCUCUACUCCGGAGGCCCUUGCUGGGGUGCGAUCUGAGGAGGUGCGCCUACGGAGCACGGGCUUAUUGCCAUCCUCUUCAGCAGUCCUGGCUGCCCGCGUUCCACCACCGCUGCCUGGUGUGCCCUCUUCUACACAGGUGGCAACAACCUCCACUAGUGCUUUCUGCAACUACUGCAAGCAGGAUGGUCACAUGAUCACGGAGUGCAUCAAGAGGAGGAAACAGGGUCGCCGUGGUGGCCGUCCUCAAAAGGACUCAGGAGGCUCCUCUAAUUCUCGUGAGGGCUCCCUUGAGAAGGUUCACCAGGAGAUGCUCACCUUGCUGCGCCGCCUUACUGCUUCUGCACCAUCCUCAGGUUCUGCUGGUUCUGCUGGUCAGACGUCUGGUCCACCACCGCACUCUUCGUCAGGACUGUCGUACGGGGACUCUGGUUGGGAUCGGUCCUUGGCGCCAUGA